rnacentral:rRNA from 1 species
UACGUAGGGUGCGAGCGUUGUCCGGAAUUAUUGGGCGUAAAGAGCGCGUAGGCGGCCAGAUAAGUCCGGUGUGAAAGUCACAGGCUCAACCUGUGAAUGCCGCUGGAAACUGUCUGGCUAGAGUCCGGGAGGGGCGAGUGGAAUUCCUGGUGUAGCGGUGAAAUGCGCAGAUAUCAGGAGGAACACCAAUGGCGAAGGCAGCUCGCUGGAACGGUACUGACGCUGAGGUGCGAAAGCGUGGGGAGCAAACAGG